rnacentral:rRNA from 1 species
UACGUAGGGGGCUAGCGUUAUCCGGAAUGAUUGGGCGUAAAGCGUCCGCAGGUGGCAGUUCAAGUCUGCUGUCAAAGACCGGGGCUUAACUUCGGAAAGGCAGUGGAAACUGAACAGCUAGAGUAUGGUAGGGGCAGAGGGAAUUCCUGGUGUAGCGGUGAAAUGCGUAGAGAUCAGGAAGAACAUCGGUGGCGAAGGCGCUCUGCUGGACCAUAACUGACACUCAGGGACGAAAGCUAGGGGAGCGAAUGGG